GAUGAAGACGUAGCGAAAUGCGAUACGUAAUGUGAAUUGCAGAAUUCAGUGAAUCAUCGAGUCUUUGAACGCACAUUGCGCCCCCUGGUAUUCCGGGGGGCAUGCCUGUCCGAGCGUCAUUGCUGCCCUCAAGCACGGCUUGUGUGUUGGGCCUCCGUCCUCCUCCCGGGGGACGGGCCCGAAAGGCAGCGGCGGCACCGCGUCCGGUCCUCGAGCGUAUGGGGCUUCGUCACCCGCUCUUGUAGGCCCGGCCGGCGCUUGCCGACACAUCAAUCAUUUUUCCAGGUUGACCUCGGAUCAGGUAGGGAUACCCGCUGAACUUAAGCAUAUCAAUAAGCGGAGGA
rnacentral:misc_RNA from 1 species